UGCCGGGUCGUCUAAGGGUAAGACAGCGGCUUUUGGAGCCGCCUAUCGGGGUUCGAAUCCCUGCCCGGCAGCCA
rnacentral:tRNA from 2 species